rnacentral:rRNA from 1 species
GCGGCCUAUCAGCUUGUUGGUGGGGUAAUGGCCUACCAAGGCUUUGACGGGUAGCCGGCCUGAGAGGGUGACCGGCCACACUGGGACUGAGACACGGCCCAGACUCCUACGGGAGGCAGCAGUGGGGAAUAUUGGACAAUGGGCGGAAGCCUGAUCUAGCAACGCCGCGUGAGGGAUGACGGCCUUCGGGUUGUAAACCUCUUUCAGCACAGACGAAGCGCCCUGUCGGGUGGUGACGGUAUGUGCAGAAGAAGCACCGGCCAACUACGUGCCAGCAGCCGCGGUAAUACGUAGGGUGCGAGCGUUGUCCGGAAUUAUUGGGCGUAAAGGGCUCGUAGGCGGUUUGUCGCGUCGGGAGUGAAA